AAAAGCUCGUAGUUGGAUCUCAGCUCCGGUCGGACGGUCCACCUACCGGUGGUUACUGUUCGUUGCCGAGCGUUUCGAGGCAGCGGUCGUAUGAUCUUUAUCGGUUGUAUGGCUGUUUCUUCAAGUUUACUUUGAAAAAAUUAGAGUGCUCAACGCAGGCGCGACGCCUGAAUAAUUGUGCAUGGAAUAAUGGAAUAGGACCUCGGUUCUAUUUUGUUGGUUUUCGGAACACGAGGUAAUGAUUAAGAGGGACAGACGGGGGCAUUCGUAUUGCGACGCUAGAGGUGAAAUUCUUGGACCGUCGCAAGACGAACUACUGCGAAAGCAUUUGCCAAGAAUGUUUCCAUUAAUCAAGAACGAAAGUUAGAGGUUCGAAGGCGAUCAGAUACCGCCCUAGUUCUAACCAUAAACGAUGCCAGCCAGCGAUCCGGCUGUGUUCCUCAAAUGACACGCCGGGCAGCUUCCGGGAAACCAAAGCUUUUGGGUUCCGGGGGAAGUAUGGUUGCAAAGCUGAAACUUAAAGGAAUUGACGGAAGGGCACCACCAGAAAUGGAGCCUGCGGCUUAAUUUGACUCAACACGGGAAAACUUACCCGGCCCGGACACAGGAAGGAUUGACAGAUUAAGAGCUCUUUCUUGAUUCUGUGGGUGGUGGUGCAUGGCCGUUCUUAGUUGGUGGGGCGACUUGUCUGGUUAAUUCCGAUAACGAACGAGACUCUAGCCUACUAAAUAGACGUUCCGAUUCUCUUUCGUCGGACGUUCUUCUUAGAGGGACAAGCGGCGUUUAGCCGCACGAGACAGAGCAAUAACAGGUCUGAGAUGCCCUUAGAUGUCCGGGGCCGCACGCGCGCUACAUUGAAGGAAUCAGCGUGUGCUUUCCCUGUCCGAAAGGACUGGGUAACCCGUUGAACCUCCUUCGUGCUGGGGAUUGACGCAUGUAAUUAUCGUCAUGAACGAGGAAUUCCCAGUAAGCACGAGUCAUCAGCUCGUGUUGAUUACGUCCCUGCCCUUUGUCCACACCGCCCGUCGCUACUACCGAUUGAAUGAUUUAGUGAGGUCUUCGGACUGGCGCUCGGAUUGGCCUUCGCGGUCGAGCCGGUGUGCCGGAAAGAUGACCAAACUUGAUCACUUAGAGGAAGUAAAAGUCGUAACAAGGUUUC
rnacentral:rRNA from 1 species